UACGUAGGUGGCGAGCGUUGUCCGGAAUUAUUGGGCGUAAAGCGCGCGCAGGCGGGAAAGUAAGUCUACUCUAAAAGUGCGGGGCUCAACCCCGUGAUGGGGUGGAAACUGCUUUUCUUGAGUGCCGGAGAGGAAAGCGGAAUUCCCAGUGUAGCGGUGAAAUGCGUAGAUAUUGGGAGGAACACCAGUGGCGAAGGCGGCUUUCUGGACGGUGUCUGACGCUGAGGCGCGAAAGCCAGGGGAGCGAACGGGAUUAGAUACCCCGGUAGUCCUGGCCGUAAACGAUGGGUACUAGGUGUAGGGGGUAUCGACCCCUCCUGUGCCGGAGUUAACGCAAUAAGUACCCCGCCUGGGGAGUACGGCCGCAAGGUUGAA
rnacentral:rRNA from 1 species